ACAACCACAUGGGAUCUUCUUAAACCCUAUCAUUAACACGUGGCACUCCCAUAUGUAGCCAUAAAUAUUUUUCCUGCUCCUUCAUUUUCAGAAUUAAAUCAAUGAUAUCCCAAAAAAUCAAUCAAAAUAUUUGGUAAAUCCCCAUAAAUCAGUCACCUGAUUAUCGAUUUUUGGUUAGUCGAUGAUCACAACAUAUACGUACGGAAGCUAAUCAUCAAUUCGAUUACAAAUACACCUCCAUUGUUACAUAUGCCUCCUCCCAUGAAGAUUUUUGAUGCUAUUCGAAGGGCUUUACCCCUAAGUUAUGGUUUUAUUUACUAUUUCCCUUUCAAACCUCCGUGUUUUCACUCCAAUCGACUCACUCAUUUGCAAAAUACCAACUUUCAUCUCCGUACAACUUUAAUAUCUCAAUUUGAAGAAAUGGCUGAAAUAACUAAGAGAUGACAUCUGGUUCCUGAGUCGAAAAAGCAGAAGACAAACAAGGAAUGGUCUAAUAGUAAAAGAAAAAAAACCAAGAAGCUAAAGACUUUAAGACAAAGAACACUGCAAACAGGUUAUUUUAAACAAGGAAAAUACCUAAUUAUUUAGCUAAUUUUUUUAUAUUAAGUAUCAAUCCCGUGGACCUAAAAUCAAAGAAGAUUUUGGAGCUCUUGCAUUUGAGAUAAGUGAUGUUCCUUCUUCCUUAUCUUGAUUUCGACACGGUUAAUUUUAUUGUUUUUUCUCUUAAUUUUGUAAUUUUUUUUGAAUGAGUAAAGUAUAUGUUAAUUCUGAACAUAUUUUGUCUAAAUGUGAUGCAGGUAUGUAGUCACUCAAGUUAUAUAACAUGAUCAAGGUGUUAAGAAGGGAAAAAGCUUUAUCUUCCAUAUAAGCUAAAGUUUAUAUUACCAAUAAAUUUGAUAAAUAUAUAAAUCAUAUGUAUUUUUUGGAACUUAAGUAAUUGAAGUAUUUAAUUAAUAAAUGAUUGUACGAACUUCUCUAUA